GUACACGCUGUGACUAGCAUAUCAAUAAGCGGAGGAAAAGAAACUAACAAGGAUUCCCCUAGUAACGGCGAGUGAAGCGGGAAGAGCUCAAAUUUGAAAUCUUAAAGGGUUUCCCUUUACGAAUUGUAGUUUAAAGAAGUGUUUUCUGUUGAGGUUUUGGUAAAAGUUCUUUGGAAUAGGACAUCAUAGAGGGUGAGAAUCCCGUAUUUGACCUUUACUUUCAACUUUGUGAUACACUUUCAAAGAGUCGGAUUGUUUGGGAAUGCAGUCCAAAAUGGGUGGUAAAUUUCAUCUAAAGCUAAAUAUUGGCGAGAGACCGAUAGCGAACAAGUACCGUGAGGGAAAGAUGAAAAGAACUUUGAAAAGAGAGUUAAACAGUACGUGUAAUUGUCAAAAGGGAAGCGUUUGACACCAAUGUUGUUUUUCUGAAAAUCAAUUAAAGAACUGUUUAUGCUAAGCUUGUUUAGACUUUAUCAGCUAAUCUGUUUAGUUUUGAGCUUUUCUCUAAUGCACUUUUCAGUUAACAAGUCAACAUCAAUUUCUUUUGCUGUAAAAAAGCUUGAGGAAGGUGGCUUGAGAUUCGUCUUAAGUGUUUAUAGCCUCUUGCCUAUGCAGUCGGAGAGAUUGAGGUCUGCAGCGUAGAUCCUUCGGGGCUAAAUGCAUUUGUGCUAAGUUAUAGCAUUUUAUAGACAACUUGUUGACUAUGAUUUGUCUUGUAGCUUACUCGCUUAUGUUAUUUUACCUACGCUUAGGAUGUUGAGUCGUAGAGCACGCAG
rnacentral:rRNA from 1 species